GGGAAACUGCCCGAUGGAGGGGGAUAACUACUGGAAACGGUAGCUAAUACCGCAUAACGUCGCAAGACCAAAGUGGGGGACCUUCGGGCCUCACACCAUCGGAUGUGCCCAGAUGGGAUUAGCUAGUAGGUGGGGUAAUGGCUCACCUAGGCGACGAUCCCUAGCUGGUCUGAGAGGAUGACCAGCCACACUGGAACUGAGACACGGUCCAGACUCCUACGGGAGGCAGCAGUGGGGAAUAUUGCACAAUGGGCGCAAGCCUGAUGCAGCCAUGCCGCGUGUAUGAAGAAGGCCUUCGGGUUGUAAAGUACUUUCAGCGGGGAGGAAGGCGGUGAAGUUAAUAACUUCACCGAUUGACGUUACCCGCAGAAGAAGCACCGGCUAACUCCGUGCCAGCAGCCGCGGUAAUACGGAGGGUGCAAGCGUUAAUCGGAAUUACUGGGCGUAAAGCGCACGCAGGCGGUCUGUCAAGUCGGAUGUGAAAUCCCCGGGCUUAACCUGGGAACUGCAUUCGAAACUGGCAGGCUGGAGUCUUGUAGAGGGGGGUAGAAUUCCAGGU
rnacentral:rRNA from 1 species